rnacentral:lncRNA from 1 species
GUUUUGGAUUAUAUGUUAAACAAUCAGGAUGUUGCUUUUUGUGUUGCUACUAUUGGAUAUGUAUUGAAUGGCAAUAUCGUGUUUUGGAUCAUAUGUUAAAAUAUUGAGUUGUUACUUGUUGAGAAUUAUUUUUUGGUGAGAAAUGUAAUAUUUGAUUGUGGUAAUAUUUAUGAUAGUAUGUUUGUUAAUAAUUUUUAAUUUUUUGUUCAUAAAUAUAUAUUAAUAUAAAUAUUAAUAUAAUAUUUUA